GGAAUAUUGGACAAUGGGGGCAACCCUGAUCCAGCCAUGCCGCGUGUGUGAAGAAGGCUUUCAGGUUGUAAAGCACUUUCAGUGAGGAGGAACACCUUGCGAUUAAUACUCGCAGGGCUUGACGUUACUCCCAGAAGCAGCACCGGCUCACUCCGUCCCAGCAGCCGCGGUAAUACGGAGGGUGCAAGCGUUAAUCGGAAUUACUGGGCGUAAAGCGCGCGUAGGUGGUUUGAUAAGCGAGAUGUGAAAGCCCCGGGCUCAACCUGGGAACGGCAUUUCGAACUGUCAGGCUAGAGUAUGGUAGAGGAGUGUGGAAUUUCCUGUGUAGCGGUGAAAUGCGUAGAUAUAGGAAGGAACACCAGUGGCGAAGGCGGCACUCUGGACCAAUACUGACACUGAGGUGCGAAAGCGUGGGGAGCAAAC
rnacentral:rRNA from 1 species